UCCACCUUGCGCGACUGGCGAAUCCUGAAGCUGCUUUGAGCGGCUUCGACAUGUGGGCAGCGACCACGAGGAAGCGCAAGGUUUCUGGCGUCAUGCACAACGGCGCCUGCCGCUCGCCUGGGCAGCGAAU
ncrna:Ralstonia pickettii 12D ZMP/ZTP riboswitch